UUUUGAGAUUUUAAUCCUUUCUUUCAACUCCAUAUAAUACACAAGAUUUAAUGUUAUGUAGUAGUCCCCCUACCCUGCACAACCGAGCUUUUCAUGUCUUGAUAACUAAUAUUUUUCCUGUUUCUAUUUUAUUUUUCAGGUUAAACAGUCACUUGUAUAUGUUGCAGUCUCAUCCAAUAGCUCAGGUUCCACUCCCAGUCUGUCUCUAUCACAUACCUAUAUCAUGCUAUGAACUAUUUCAUGUUAUGAGAAGCUUACUUUUUCUUAAUUUGUGUACAUUUUAGUGUAGAAUUGAACUGAGGUUUCACUCAAGUCGACAUUAUUGCAUGACAUAAUUGUUAUAUUUAACUUGCUCAUAAAUGAUUUUUAUGGUGGAUCUGAAACUGUUAGAAAUGACAUAUUGAUUUAAUGGAACUUCUAGUAGUACACAUAAAUGUACAAUGAGCCAAGAUCUUAGGUUGCGUUGUGGGUGUGGGAGAGCUGCAAAAAGACUAGUAUUUUGCACCUUUCGGGUUUUCUGUAUUGGCUAUCAAACCGAUAUGAAAAGUUGUACGAAUUCAUUGCUGGUGAAACAAUGUAGUUAGGUGAAGUUGUUUUCCUAGUGGAUCAUCGGGCAGGUUAGUAUAUGAGACAUCAAUUCAGUUCCCUUUUCUGUCAACUGUUCAAUGUCCUAAUGUUUUUGCAAUCUUCAAUAUUUUAUCAAACUCCUUGUCGUUGUACUCAAUUCGACAACCAUGGUCACUCAGCUCAACGACUAUUAACUAUACAAAAAAGGAAUGGGAAAUCAAUGAAAAUCCUUGUAUGGUUGUCUUAGACCCUACAGGAACAGUUACUAAUAUAAAUGCAGCUAGUAUGAUAUGUAUCUAAGGUAAGAAUACCCCUUCUCAGGUUCAAGAGAAAAGGAGCUGCAAAGAACAGAAAACGGGAGUCUAAGACACUUACUUGACAAUAUCGACUUCUUGUUCCCCAUGUCGGCGACAUGUAUGGACACAGUUUUGCUUGUCUUAUCGUGGUCAUAAGCUACUAAAUGACAUCGAAUAUGUCAACUACAGUAAGAGAUUGUGAUGGAACGAGAUUGGCAAGUUUCCAAUUUAUGACCAAGAGUAGAUGGACAAAGUAAAAACUCACCGGAUGCGCUAUGUUGUUCAACUAGGUUACGUUGAAGGAACCAACAAAUAUACACCUCUAUUAAUUAUUAUUUUUUCGAAGUUUAGUAUGUCUGGUCUUAAUUUAGAACAUUUAUGUAAUUGGUUUUAU